rnacentral:rRNA from 1 species
GAGUGUACUCUCUUUCCUACCUUUAUGAUAACCUCGUUCAUUCUUGCCACUACUUCCUCCGUUUACUUUAGGGGUUUUAUGAUCUCGAACAUUAGUGUUAACUCUCUGAACCAAACCCGUUGGUAAUACUCUUACUCUAACGUGUUGAUGACCUACAACAAAACUUUAGACUAAUACUACUAUUAUUAGAUGUGAACCAAAGCGAAGCCAAAAUAGAAGAUGCUUUUUUAUCUAUACUACACAGUAGACUACAUAAGGUAUUUAAGCUUCUGUUUGUUCCUCCAAAACAAGUCAGCCUAUGUUUAUCAAACAACUCGAAUAUAUUACGUCGUGUAGACUCAUAGUUCCCCCUCCUACAUAAACUGUACCGUCAGAGAAAGUGCUCUUCUGUGGAGGAGCCCCGAAAUCUUUUAAACCUUAGUGGUAAACGUCCCCUUCAAAGAAGAAGGGAAGAAUGUGGAGGAAAAGCUUCUCAACCCUAUAAUCUUCGUUCUUCGAUGGAUGGUACAAUGUGUUUGUUCCGAUGUGCUUUACUUCGGUAUAACAUCGAACGGUUUAACUUAAAAUUAUAAGACGUUGAAGUAAAAACACUCCUCAACUUUCUGCAGUGUUACACCACCUUAUUCUAGUUUUACUUCAGUUCCAACUCAAAACAUUCUCUGUCUUAACAUCUUUGAAUAAAAACCUAUUUACCCUGAUCGAUGUUGGAACUUAUAAGAAUAAGGGCUUAUUAUCGAUGUUUCCAGUGGCGAAAGUACUGAUAUUAUCUACUGUAUAAACUGUGUAUAUCGUCGUGACUUCUGUCGUACGUUGAACGUCUUCGUUAAUUAUCCACCCUACUUCUACGUCAUUUACACGAAGGUCUUAUGUACUUCCUAUAGAUGAAUAUAAACAACCUUUGUAAAGUAAGAAAACUCCUGGUAAAUCCUGGACUCUUGUCGAUGGCACACCAAAUAGAUUUUCUUCGCAAGUUCUUUAACCAAGUUCGUAUGUCACUACUUGAUUUUACCGCACUACUUUUAAUACAUGGUUUUUGUGAAUUACUUGUGGAAGUUCAAAGUAGUCAUUCAUAACCUUGGAGACACCAUCGUACACGAUAUAAACAACCGUACCUACUGUGUUGUCACCUUUGAGAGUUAACCCACAGCUCGCUGGUCUUUGAAGACUUCAGAAAACGAUAUAUAUGUGCAAAGUGCUUACUGUACCGUAGUCGUUUCGCACUCGUUCGUCCCCCCGUCACACGGAGAUGAUAGGUUAGCAUGUACUUCCUCGUACCCUACUGUUUACUACUACGUACACUUUUCUAUUUUCUUGAAUAGCUCUUGAGUACCUUCCUAUACAAUGUGGUAAUAGAGUGUAACUGUCUAGUUGGUUACCAGCACGGGGUUUACUAUGAAUUGGAAAGUUCCUGACACCUAUUGUACAUGUUCGUAUGGCUACGUAUGUGAUUAAGUCUAUAUGACUUUCUAUGUUAUUCCUACGAAAAACGACUCGGUUACAUU